rnacentral:rRNA from 1 species
AUUGAACGCUGGCGGCAGGCCUAACACAUGCAAGUCGGGCGAGUGGCGGACGGGUGAGUAAUGUAUGGGGAUCUGCCUGAUGGCGGGGGAUCACUACUUGAAACGGUAGCUAAUCCCGCAUUCCAUCAAAUGCACCCAUAUGGGAUUAGCUAGUAGUUAAGGUAACGGCUGACCUAGGCGACGAUACCUGGCUGGUCUGAGAGGAUGAUCAGCAAAACUGGGACUAGAACACGGCCCAGACGCCAACGGGAGGCAGCAGUGGGGAAUAUGUCAAAAUGGGGGCAAGCCUGAUGCAGCCAUGCCGCGGGUAUGAAAAAGGCCUUCGGGUGGUAAAGUACUUUCAGUGGGGAGGCGUUACCGAAAGAAGAAGCACCGGCUAACUCCGUGCCAGCAGCCGCGGUAAUUC